rnacentral:lncRNA from 1 species
AAGUCAGAGAAAUGUCUGUACAAACUGGAAGAAUCCUUCUCACUUCCAGGGGCUGCAGUGGGAGGCGUGAGAGGGGCGCCAUUGCCUCCUCUUUGCAGACCAGGCAUCUCCUCUUGACGUCACGUCCUCCUAGGAUCUCUAUGGUAGCACAGCUCUGGUGGCUUGGGCAGCAGCUCUUGCGGGGUAUGUGUUGCAAUGCCUGCGGCCACUUGGCAGGAUGGAGCCCCACUCUGCACAGCUGUCUGCUGCACCAUCUGCAUUGCUGCUCCUCCCCCACGUCCCCCUGUCAAGAGAAAGGGUCCAAAGGCUGGUUCCUAUGCAAUAGCCCUGGUGCGGGGGAGGGGAUGAUGUGUAGACUGUACAUAUUUUAAAUCAGACCUUCUCCUAGACUGCUGCUGUUCCAUUUUGGAAUGUUGCAGAGGCUUCAUGGGGUGGCUUGCUUGUAAAGUUCACAUGUGUCUAUUGAGAAUUAUUUUUUAAAAUACAAAGCUACUAGAUUUUUAAAUAUGGAGCCAGAGGCAAGAAGGAGAAGGUAGAAUAAAGACCACUCUGGACCUCAGAGUUGGAGAAAGGAAUUGUUGAGGGGAUGAGGGACAGUUAAUCCUGAGAAAAGAAGCUCAGGUGGUCUUAGUGAAGAACUCCCUGAAGGAAGGAGGGGAGGGUAAGUCUGAGGUCACUUGUAUCUAUGGUCCUUGGUUGCUUAUUUUAUCUAGAAUUUUGUUAUGAUUUCUGAACCACACGGAGUCGAUGCUGGUCACUAAUUGAAAUUUCUUUUGUGCAGGUAGAGUGGGGAGACUUGUAUGUAAGGUUUUUCCACAAAUGAUGUGGUAUCUGGAGGCUGGAGCCUUCCUCUCAUUUCUUGUUGGUUCCUUCCUUCCCCUUCCCAGAGCAGGUCUGUAAUCUAUACUCUUGGGGCCCCUGGACAAGUUGUGGUGGGUGGGCACUAGGGGGAUUUGGGGAGCAGGAUCACAGACUUAGACUUGAGGAAGAGGCAGGUGAUGUGCAGGCAGGUGGUGGGGAAGGAGGAAAGGAGGGGAGAUGAGCAGGUAUGUGGUGUAGGUAGGAAGGAGGAGGAGAAGUUCUUGAAAGCUGGGGGAUGUGUAGAGAAGAGGCGGGUUGAGCAGGAUCCCAGGUUUAUGUCAGGAGAGGAAGAGAAGAAGCAGAAGUCAGAGAAAUGUCUGUACAAACUGGAAGAAUCCUUCUCACUUCUGGGACAAGGGAUAGGAGCCAACCUAAGCAGGAGUAACUGGGACUGGGUGAGAUCUGGCACUUCCUCCCGGGCUUCCUGUGGCGGUCCCCAGGUGCACCCAGCGACCAGGUCCAGUCACAGCUGGUCAGGCCCAUGGCCAGGGAGGGAACCCUGCAAGUUGUAUGCUUGUGAGUGUUCGGCUGCCUCACAGUGUCUUGACGCAUCCUGGAACGUGAGAAGCCUGUGGCCCUGGCACACCCUGACAGAUGCCUGGGGGGCAGGAGGGAGCAAGGGGAUCUCAAUGCCCUACCUACCCCAGGUCACAGAGCCAACCCAUCAGGAUUCAGAGUGGUCACCCCCAUUCACAGGUAGGUGUUGUCAGCCCCCGUGGGUGAGGCCCCCAGAGCAGAAGUGCGAAGCCUGCCUCUGCCUCUGCUUACUUAUUUAGAGUAUGGAGACAUAUGUCCCUUUAACCAUUCAUUCAUUUAGCAAAUACUUAUUGGACAUCCAUGAUACCCCAGCCUCCGGCACUGGGAACAUAGCAGGGAAUACAGAGGCUCACAGUCCCUAACCUUCCUGGAGUGCUGUCAGGGGAGAGGGUGACAGACAGCAGCUGCACUGAUGAACACAGGCAGAGCCUCUCCGGACGCAUCCCAGAGCCCCCCCCCAUCCUCUGGGGGAUGCAGCGAGCCUGUGGUUGGUGGACUGGCUCACGAACCCGGAGCAGUCCUUCGACUCUCGCACGUCGUGAGUUCCCCGCUGCUUCCACCACCGUUAGGCAUUCGCCAAGAAGCCUGCCCAGCAGUUUCCACCCCUCAUUCCUGUGGAUUGGAGAUGGAAAAGGUUGGGGCCCAAGAACCUUGGGAGUGCGUCAGCUUGUGUCUUGGUUUGUGAGGAAGUUACUGCCUCUCGUUGUGGCCAGGCCCUUCCGGUAGCCACGAGGCAGUCUGCAAGAAGCACACUGUCUGUGAAAAGAGAACAGAGUUCACCAUUCGGAAGUCCUGCAUCUUUACCCUAGAGGUGAGACAUUACCCAUGUCGACCCACUCGCCCUUCUGCACUGCAACAGGGCUGGCAGUGAGCCGGAUGCAUGCAGUGUGCUGAGCUGGAAGGAACACCAGCCUCGGAGCUGAGAUAGAUGUCUUUAAGUCCUGGCUCAUCUUAGCCCAGCGACCUUGAUGGGAUGACCUUGAGAGACAUGUGUUCAGAGCAACAAACUAUGCGGGAUGAAUUGAGGACCAGGGCUCCAGGUCCUUGCCAACUCUGACGUGCUAUCGUUCUUUGAUUUUAUGUACACAUAUAUUUUUUUUCUGUUUGUUAAGAACUAACUCAAGAAUAUUUCCUUUAGUUAGUUUAAAAAGAAAAAAAUAUUUUAUUUAAUAAACAAGUUUGUGGCCAAAUGCUGUGCUGAGGAGACAAUCAUCGUAUACCUUUAUAAUUUUUCUUCCUGCUUCUGAGUGUCAUCCGACGAUGCCGAUAGGCUUAUUGUGUUGGGUUUCUGCUUGCGGGUCUGGUUUGAUUGCCUUGGUUUGUCACACGGAGGAAAUUAUCUUGGCAGCUGCCUCCUGUAAGUGAACUCCUGGAGAAAGCGAGUUUGCCUUUCAAUAAACGAUAUCACCCAACAGGAGUCUUGGCUCUCCCGUUAUUUCAACUCCCUUGUUUUCUCCAGAUCUUGGCUCCCUGUCUGCCAAGAAACAGCCCAGCUGAAUGGCUGGAAAGUACUCAAGGUAGAGGAACUUGGGGCAUUCCAGGCUGGGAGUUGGGUGGGAGGGGGUGAGGGGGGAACACAGAGGAUUAAAUGUAC